CAAGCUAAUAUCAAAAACGCGGAAAGGAUAACCAUUCUAGCCAAUAACCAAAACUGCCCGAAUGCAUGGAUGGCCAUCCCAGAGCUGCAAAAACCCACUAAAGGAGCAUCGCUGCAACUGCGUCCAAUUUCCGUUUUUCAUGUUGCGAAAUAUGUCAACUUUGGCAGGAUUUGUAAUUACAAACGCACAGAAACAGCGACAGAGUUUGUGGCGGGGUGAGUUUACCAUCAAAAUCUACACUGACGGGUCAAAGUUGAUCCCUCAAACAGAAGACGGAGUCCACUACCCUAAUUGAAUAUCAUUAACUUCUUUCGUCCGGAAGAUCUAUUCUCGGAAAGUUUAGCAGUACUAAGAACCCCUUGAGUCCUUUGAAAUAACCUCAACAACCAUCUCUAAAUGCCACAUAUCCCUUCACGAGAUGGUCAAUCAACUCAAACUAAAGCUUAUAUGCAUAGUUAACGAGUUGGCCAGAAAAAGGAACGAUCGUCAAGGUGCGCAAGAUUCUCUCAUUGCAGAUGGAACUUGAUCACUACCUGUAAAAAAAAACCAGGCUAACAUGUCUCACGAUUAACCGCAAAAUAACUAAGGCACUUAUACACUGUAAAAUUAUUUCUGGACACUGUUUCAUAGGCAAAGAUGCUCGAAGACAUCACGACUUCUGCCGAAGCUUUUGCAGGUGGACGAGAAGGAAAUCAUAGAACACCUCCUGUGCAUAUUCCCAGGGGAUAACCACACAAUAUUACAACACCUAGGUAGUUACACCCUCCACAAUCUC